rnacentral:lncRNA from 1 species
GCAGUAUUAGUUGGUAAGGAAGAGAAAACAUAAGUUCUGAAGGUUAGAGAGAAGAGACAGUCCAAUGAAACUUCUGCAGAGGUGAGGGGACAGGAGCUCAGGUCGAGGUGUGUUUCUGAAGGGACUCGGAGAUGUGAGAGAACUCACUAAGGAAAGGUGAUGAUGGAUGAGGCAUGGGGUGAGCUCAUCUGAACCAAGAGUUGCCUCACAGCAAAUGAGAUCUUCUGAUGAGUUGGGAUUUUCCACAGUCCCAACUACAGCACAUUCAGGGUCUUAUGGAAUCUUUCUCAUCGGGACUUCCUGGGAAGAUGGGAACAAAUGCCUAUUCACGUCAGAUAGGGCCCGGAUGACAGACAAGAGAGGAGAGCAAUGUGUUUGGAAACCUGGUGGAUACUUUCUGAGAAGGAGGCAUAGAGAUGAGUUCCUCACUGAGCAGCACAGUGUCUGAUGUUUACAGAACAAUUUGAACACUACACCGGACCUAUGGGAAGUGGAGAAGACAUAGUUAUUUCCAUUCAACGCACAAGCAAAGUGGAAAGAUGCUCAAGAAGUGUUUAGGGGACUGAUGUCAUACAGAAGAGUCCAGCUUCUCAGUCCACGGGCUGGCAGAGCACUUUAUAACAAGAUGGUUCAUCAUGUCAACCCCACCCAGCAGCACAAGCUUCUGGUGGUCUGCGUGAGGACCUGUCACCAGAACAUACAGCCAAGUUAAGACUGACCAUUCUUCACAGUGGGAAAAGACGUUGGGAGGCAAUAGGGACAAACGGGUGUGCGGCUCAGGGGAGAGACAGAGGCAGGAAGGGAGAUGGGAAGUACAAGCAUAGAGGUGUUGAGUAGUCUUCAUUUAUUAGACCUCAGCACCUCUCGCUCACCCCAGAGGGCAGUGGGAGCAAUGCCUGCAUGCCCGAUACAUUCCCAAUGCCUCUGAACGUCAGCUCAGAGGAUAGAGCUCACUGUGAAAACCAGCUGCCAGGCUGCUGUCUCCAGGUCUCCCUGGCUCUGCAGUCCCUGUCCUCUCGGAAAUACUGAGCUCAGGAGGAAGGAAUUCCCUCGGUACCUCUGUUGUUCCCUUCUCUUGUUUCCUAAGAGAACCUAGUAUUUCAGUGACUGCUUCCAAAGAGCUCCACUUGGAUGCCAGUAUCCUGCCAGAAAUUCUUCUGCACGUACCUUUAAUCAUGUGGCAAAUUGCCUUAUUAAUCACCAGGGACUCCAGUCUCAUUACUUAAUUAAACCAUCUCUUCUUGUGCUUCUUAUUAAAACCACGCGAGUUUUUAACUUC